rnacentral:rRNA from 1 species
UACGGGGGGGGCAAGCGUUGUUCGGAAUUACUGGGCGUAAAGGGCUCGUAGGCGGCCAACUAAGUCAGACGUGAAAUCCCUCGGCUUAACCGGGGAACUGCAUCUGAUACUGGAUGGAUUGAGUUCGGGAGAGGGAUGCGGAAUUCCAGGUGUAGCGGUGAAAUGCGUAGAUAUCUGGAGGAACACCGGUGGCGAAGGCGGCAUCCGGGACCGACACUGACGCUGAGGAGCGAAAGCCAGGGGAGCAAACGGG